rnacentral:misc_RNA from 1 species
GAUGAAGAACGUAGCGAAAUGCGAUAAGUAAUGUGAAUUGCAGAAUUCAGUGAAUCAUCGAAUCUUUGAACGCACAUUGCGCCCGUCAGUAUUCUGGCGGGCAUGCCUGUUCGAGCGUCCUUACGCCCCUCAAGUCCCCUGUGGACUUGGUGUUGGGGAUCGGCGAGGCUGGUUUUCCAGCACAGCCGUCCCUUAAAUUAAUUGGCGGUCUCGCCGUGGCCCUCCUCUGCGCAGUAGUAAAACACUCGCAACAGGAGCCCGGCGCGGUCCACUGCCGUAAAACCCCCCAACUUUUUAUAGUUGACCUCGAAUCAGGUAGGACUACCCGCUGAACUUAAGCAUAUCAAUAAGCGGAGGA